rnacentral:rRNA from 1 species
CAUGGCUGUCGUCAGCUCGUGUUGUGAAAUGUUGGGUUAAGUCCCGCAACGAGCGCAACCCUUAUCCUUUGUUGCCAGCGGUCCGGCCGGGAACUCAAAGGAGACUGCCAGUGAUAAACUGGAGGAAGGUGGGGAUGACGUCAAGUCAUCAUGGCCCUUACGACCAGGGCUACACACGUGCUACAAUGGCGCAUACAAAGAGGAGCGACCUCGCGAGAGCAAGCGGACCUCAUAAAGUGCGUCGUAGUCCGGAUUGGAGUCUGCAACUCGACUCCAUGAAGUCGGAAUCGCUAGUAAUCGUGGAUCAGAAUGCCACGGUGAAUACGUUCCCGGGCCUUGUACACACCGCCCGUCACACCAUGGGAGUGGGUUGCAAAAGAAGUAGGUAGCUUAACCUUCGGGAGGGCGCUUACCACUUUGUGAUUCAUGACUGGGGUGAAGUCGUAACAAGGUAACCGUAGGGGAACCUGCGGUUGGAUCACCUC